UCUGCGUCGCAAUUCUGAACUCUACAUCAACGUCUCUUAACGGCUUUCCUUGCAAGCCUGCCUCAGAAGUUACUUCGGAGGACUUCUUCUUUGAUGGCUUCACCAAAGAGGGAAACACGGACAAUGCACUCGGCUUCAGCCCAACCUUUGGAAACGUUCUUUCUUUCCCAGGGUUGAACACGCUAGGUAUUGCAAUGAAUCGGGUUGACUUUGCCCCAGGAGGGCUGAAUCCGCCCCAUUCACACCCUCGUGCGACAGAAUCCGGAGUAGUCAUUAAAGGGAAACUCUUCGUUGGAUUCCUGACAACGAACAAUGUGUUAUAUUCCAAAGUUUUGACUGUAGGGCAGAUGUUUGUGGUACCCCGAGGACUCGUGCAUUUCCAAAUGAAUGUUGGGAAGGAGAAGGCAAUUACAAUCACAGCGUUUAACAGUCAAUUGCCAGGGGUAGCAACCCUUGCAAAUACACUAUUUGGUUCCAACCCUCCAAUUCCUGAUGAUGUGCUGACUAAAGCAUUCCAAGUUGAAGCAAGUGUUAUUGAUGGCAUCAAGGCCAAAUUUGGUGCUUAAAAUUGUAAGAAAAAUAGAAUGGAAAAUAAAAGCCUAAAACAUUAAAUUUGUGUUCACAGAUUUAUCUGUGUAUUUGUCUAAAGUCAUCUGGUACAUAUAUUAUCCAGGUAUGUAUUAUGAUAUCAUCAAUAGUGCACAUGUACAAGUGCAACAAGAAUUCUUAAUUCUUCAUAUGGAUGUGUACAUUUGGGUACUCAAAUGAUUCUGUUCUUUGCAGUUACUCAUACAAACAAGAGUCGUGCUGUUUUUCAUCGUAUCUUUGACAUAUAUUAUGUAUGGUGAGCUAUCACUUAUUUUAAUUUAGUGAAUUAGUAAAGCUUAAUAUGUAAUGACUAAACAUAUAACAGUUUGGCCGAGUGGUCUAAGGCGCCAGAUUUAGGCUCCGGUCCGAAAGGGCGUGGGUUCAAAUCCCCCACAGCUAUCAUUUUUUUUCCCCAAAAAAAAUACCAGAAUAAAUAAGAUUUCAGAAAUAAAAGAAAAAUCAUUGCCAAAUUCUUAAUCCAAUAGCAACAACAGUAAUCGUAUCUCAAUUAAAAGGAGUUGAAAUCGACUAUAUGAAUCAUCGCUGACUGUGUUUCUUUAUUUAAAUUCACUCAUCUCAUGACGUAAUCACUCGGCCACAAAAGGAACAUAAGAAAAAUGUGGCAAUUUUACUCGACUAGGAACCUUGCAAGUUAUAUAAUCUAUGGUUCAUCUUAUGCUUUUCUUGGGAUGGAAACUUCUUUUUAGGAUUGGGACUUUAGUGUUGGGUGUGCGAACAAAAGUCACACAGUGAUAGCUGAAGCCUGAAGGGAGUGGGAAGCCAUAUAAUGUGUAAGAUCUUUAAUGAUUUGAGGCCUUCCAAGGAAAACCUUGCGCACUUGAUUCAAAGCAAAUAAUAUCACACCAUAUAAGAGUGUCUUUGGAUUGAUUGAUCCCAACAAUUAGUCCCUCAUCCCGAUGAUGACAUCGAAUUAGUGUACUAGAGUCUAGAAAGCUCCAACAAUUAGUCCCUCAUCCAGAUGAUGACAUCGAAUUAGUGUACUAGAAAGCUAGAGUUCGAAGACAAUUCAAUUAGAUGAUGCCAUUCCUUGUUUACUUAUUUUAUUUAAAAAAAGCAUCUCAGCUGUUAUACAGUCAACAAAGAAGCGGAACUUUAAUUUAUAUCGGGUGAACCUUAAUCUAAAGUACGAGCUUCAUUGAAAAUGCAAUUUGGACACAGAAUGCUCCAGACACUAAAGCAGGUGGCUUCCAGUUGACAUUAUCUAAAGAUAGCUGAAUAGGGUCGGUUUAAUGGAAAAUCUGUACAUGAAAAAGGUCCAAAUCAAAAGAGAGCCAAUCUUUCCUUGUCUCAACACAUUUGCCUACAUGGACCAAAGCUAAGUUACACGGACUCUUCACUUUUGAUGUCGCACCCGUAUUGGAUUCUUCAAAAAUACACUACUUUUGGCGAAUCCGACACGCACCCGCCGACAUUUUUGAAGAGUCCGAGCAACAUAGGACCAAAGAGCAUCAUUUUUCUUUCAAGAAAUAUGGUUGCAUGGAGGUCGAGCAUUCCUCAUAUGCUUGAAGAAGAUCUCAAUGUCAACUAAUUCAAUAACCUUAUUCGAUUAUCACAUAAUUUCUUUUUCUUUUUUACUUUUUUGAGAAAGACAAAUCACAUAAUAUCUCAUAACCAUGGUGCUUGGAACUUCUUACACUUCUACGUCCAGAGGCUUUGGGUGAUAGAGAUUUUCAACUGCAGACAGGAGCAAAUAUGAUAUACAAAGUGUGCAGUGAAACAUAUCUACCGUUAUCAAAAGUUUCGGUUCUGGAAUUUAUCAUCUCAAUCUCCCCUACCAAAUCUACAAUAUCCUAAAUUAAACAAAAAAUCAGAUAAAAGAACCUCCAGCAAUUUAUAUAUUUCAAUCAAUAAUCAACUCUGAAAUUUGAAGGCUUUACCGAUAGAAACAUACAGUUUUUUAAUUUCAUAAGAACAUAAACCAGAUUCCGUCUACCAGAUUUGUUAGAUAAGGAAAAACUAUCAUAAAGAACACCAAAUAACUUACAUCUUUUGAAGGAAAGGUUUCUAUAGGGUGGUUCAUCCUUGAAUUGACUGCUUCAAGCUUCAUGGACAAGAACUGGAAAGUCCAAUCAAAGCAGCGCGGAUGAGGUUAUUAUGACUUGAGUUGAUAAAAAGAAUAACUUUAAUACAGGGAAGAUGAGGAACUACCUCAACUUGGCGCUGUAGCGACUGGAUAUAAUUUAUUAUUUCGUCAAGAACAAGCGCUUUUCCAAUAACCUGUAAGAAAGUUGCAAAAUAAACUUGCACAAAAUGCAAAUUGUACAUGAAAAAUGCAUUCAAUCUAAUAGAGCACACAAAAUUGUCACCCUUCAUAUAAUAUCCACCACCGGAUAAGCUCGAUCAAUAGGAUAACUUCAAAAGAUUACUAACCUUAUUACGUCCGGGAACCAAAUCUUGCAGAAUUUUCAUCCUCUCGCUGAUCUUUUCUUUCCUGGCCUGAUAAAUUAAGAUUCUACUUAGCCACCGUCAGGAAACAUUUGCACCAUUAAAAGUUGGGAAGUUGAGAUAAGGCAUUGCCCUCUCUGCUAGACUGUGACUAUCAGGAGCAUGGCCCCUUCGUGCCCUACAUGGAUAUAAUCCUUAGGUGGCUCAGGUUUACUACUUUGUUCAGUACCCUUGUUAGCCGUCUGGGAACUGGAUUCUACUUCUACCUUUAAAGCACUAUUUUCUUCUUUCGAUUGGGAUGCUUUCAGCCGUUUGGCCACUGAACCAUCCUGAACAUAAUUUCAAUUAGUAUGAAUAUCAAUAGGUAUUAAAAGUUGGGAAGUUGAGAUAAGGCAUUGCCCUCUCUGCUAGACUGUGACUAUCAGGAGCAUGGCCCCUUCGUGCCCUACAUGGAUGUAAUCCUUAGGUGGCUCAGGUUUACUACUUUGUUCAGUACCCUUGUUAGCCGUCUGGGAACUGGAUUCUACUUCUACCUUUAAAGCACUAUUUUCUUCUUUCGAUUGGGAUGCUUUCAGCCGUUUGGCCACUGAACCAUCCUGAACAUAAUUUCAAUUAGUAUGAAUAUCAAUAGGUAUUAAAAGUUGGGAAGUUGAGAUAAGGCAUUGCCCUCUCUGCUAGACUGUGACUAUCAGGAGCAUGGCCCCUUCGUGCCCUACAUGGAUGUAAUCCUUAGGUGGCUCAGGUUUACUACUUUGUUCAGUACCCUUGUUAGCCGUCUGGGAACUGGAUUCUACUUCUACCUUUAAAGCACUAUUUUCUUCUUUCGAUUGGGAUGCUUUCAGCCGUUUGGCCACUGAACCAUCCUGAACAUAAUAAAUCAAAAGAGAGCCAAUCUUUCCUUGUCUCAACACAUUUGCCUACAUGGACCAAAGCUAAGUUACACGGACUCUUCACUUUUGAUGUCGCACCCGUAUUGGAUUCUUCAAAAAUACACUACUUUUGGCGAAUCCGACACGCACCCGCCGACAUUUUUGAAGAGUCCGAGCAACAUAGGACCAAAGAGCAUCAUUUUUCUUUCAAGAAAUAUGGUUGCAUGGAGGUCGAGCAUUCCUCAUAUGCUUGAAGAAGAUCUCAAUGUCAACUAAUUCAAUAACCUUAUUCGAUUAUCACAUAAUUUCUUUUUCUUUUUUACUUUUUUGAGAAAGACAAAUCACAUAAUAUCUCAUAACCAUGGUGCUUGGAACUUCUUACACUUCUACGUCCAGAGGCUUUGGGUGAUAGAGAUUUUCAACUGCAGACAGGAGCAAAUAUGAUAUACAAAGUGUGCAGUGAAACAUAUCUACCGUUAUCAAAAGUUUCGGUUCUGGAAUUUAUCAUCUCAAUCUCCCCUACCAAAUCUACAAUAUCCUAAAUUAAACAAAAAAUCAGAUAAAAGAACCUCCAGCAAUUUAUAUAUUUCAAUCAAUAAUCAACUCUGAAAUUUGAAGGCUUUACCGAUAGAAACAUACAGUUUUUUAAUUUCAUAAGAACAUAAACCAGAUUCCGUCUACCAGAUUUGUUAGAUAAGGAAAAACUAUCAUAAAGAACACCAAAUAACUUACAUCUUUUGAAGGAAAGGUUUCUAUAGGGUGGUUCAUCCUUGAAUUGACUGCUUCAAGCUUCAUGGACAAGAACUGGAAAGUCCAAUCAAAGCAGCGCGGAUGAGGUUAUUAUGACUUGAGUUGAUAAAAAGAAUAACUUUAAUACAGGGAAGAUGAGGAACUACCUCAACUUGGCGCUGUAGCGACUGGAUAUAAUUUAUUAUUUCGUCAAGAACAAGCGCUUUUCCAAUAACCUGUAAGAAAGUUGCAAAAUAAACUUGCACAAAAUGCAAAUUGUACAUGAAAAAUGCAUUCAAUCUAAUAGAGCACACAAAAUUGUCACCCUUCAUAUAAUAUCCACCACCGGAUAAGCUCGAUCAAUAGGAUAACUUCAAAAGAUUACUAACCUUAUUACGUCCGGGAACCAAAUCUUGCAGAAUUUUCAUCCUCUCGCUGAUCUUUUCUUUCCUGGCCUGAUAAAUUAAGAUUCUACUUAGCCACCGUCAGGAAACAUUUGCACCAUUAAAAGUUGGGAAGUUGAGAUAAGGCAUUGCCCUCUCUGCUAGACUGUGACUAUCAGGAGCAUGGCCCCUUCGUGCCCUACAUGGAUAUAAUCCUUAGGUGGCUCAGGUUUACUACUUUGUUCAGUACCCUUGUUAGCCGUCUGGGAACUGGAUUCUACUUCUACCUUUAAAGCACUAUUUUCUUCUUUCGAUUGGGAUGCUUUCAGCCGUUUGGCCACUGAACCAUCCUGAACAUAAUUUCAAUUAGUAUGAAUAUCAAUAGGUAUUAAAAGUUGGGAAGUUGAGAUAAGGCAUUGCCCUCUCUGCUAGACUGUGACUAUCAGGAGCAUGGCCCCUUCGUGCCCUACAUGGAUGUAAUCCUUAGGUGGCUCAGGUUUACUACUUUGUUCAGUACCCUUGUUAGCCGUCUGGGAACUGGAUUCUACUUCUACCUUUAAAGCACUAUUUUCUUCUUUCGAUUGGGAUGCUUUCAGCCGUUUGGCCACUGAACCAUCCUGAACAUAAUUUCAAUUAGUAUGAAUAUCAAUAGGUAUUAAAAGUUGGGAAGUUGAGAUAAGGCAUUGCCCUCUCUGCUAGACUGUGACUAUCAGGAGCAUGGCCCCUUCGUGCCCUACAUGGAUGUAAUCCUUAGGUGGCUCAGGUUUACUACUUUGUUCAGUACCCUUGUUAGCCGUCUGGGAACUGGAUUCUACUUCUACCUUUAAAGCACUAUUUUCUUCUUUCGAUUGGGAUGCUUUCAGCCGUUUGGCCACUGAACCAUCCUGAACAUAAUUUCAAUUAGUAUGAAUAUCAAUAGGUUGCUUCAUUAAAUGAAAAAUAUAUCAAUAUGAGAAUUCGUCAGCUGAAGGACUAAGAAAUAGAGUUAUGAUAUCUAAAGUUCAUCCAAAUGAAAACGGUUCACAAAACAAAUAACCAGUUAGCACAUACAUCAUGAACUUACACCUCAAGGAUUUUUUUCUCAUUAACCGUGGCGUCCGAAUUAGCUUGCGUGCACCUCAACUAAUCAUACGGGACACCUGCCACCUCCCACCAACAAGUCACGGGUACUAAUUACUGAUGAAUUAUACUGCAUCCUUAAGCUAUUGAUGCUUUGGCCAAAUCAAAUAUAUACUGACCAAAUCCAACGUUAGUACAUGCUUGAUUUGACAAAGCAUCACUAGAUUAAAAAAGUAUAAUUCAGCACCAAAUAUAGGGAUAUAUACCUAAUGAGAUUGAGACUCUUCAAAAUUUCUUUAUCAUUGUGGUAUAGUCAAUGAAAUUAAAUAGAUUUUCCAAGGUACUCUUGACGAUUGUUAUACAUGCAGCAUGUGGUAUUCUAAUUACGUUAUGGAAAAGUAAUACCAACGAACAUGGACGUAAUCUUCCCAAUAAAAUUGAUUAGGAUCAUAAUCAAAGCUAAUAAACAACUUUUUCCAGUCUUAGAAUUUUCGAUGACCAUGUCAACGUUAUUUAACAAGAAUAUCGCGCACCGGUAGGUUUAAAUAAGUUAAAACAAAAGAAAAGGAAAUUGGUUAGUUGAGGUGAUCUUUUCUUGAUUUGAUAUUGAAUAUUUACAUGUUUUUCUCUGUACAUUAUGGAAGAAGUCCUUGCAUGAUAAAACUUUCUUCAGAUGUACAAAAUGACCUAAUCAAUGAUGGUCAUUCGGGCAUGAAGGUGUGUUGUUAGAGAUCCAAGAAGUCAACUUUCCUAUCUAUUUCAGCAAUUAGAGUGUCAAAACUUGCUGAUAAAAUAUUCAAGUAAAUGAGAAAUGACAGAAUUAUAUCUGGAAAUCAACAUCACUAUUAGGUAGCUCUAUUGAAAGAAUAAACUUUUAACAACUUACAUAUGAAGAAAGUGACUGAUGCAUGGCAUGACAUGAUGGACUUAUCAAGCUCCGUGUAGAAAAUGUGGUUGUGAUUCCAAUAGGACUUGGACAUUUUCAGCUAAAUGUUGGAGGUGGAAGGUAAUUGAUCUUCAAUAUUUCCACAUUUUCUUCGUGACCUGUCACAAUCCAAGUCCAUGACAUGUAUUGUCCGCUUUGGUCCAACAGGUUCUACAUAUAUGUCUCUCAGGCUAUACCCUUGUAAAUUCCUCUACUUUUCGCCUAAGGUGUUAUGUGCACCCCAUAUUUAGAAGCUUGAUAGCCUAGAAGCCUGUUAGUCCCUCUCUUGACCCGUCCUCCGUCAUACGUGUCACUUGACCCUCUUUCGGUAUAGGCCUCCUGACCAUAACAGUCUUGACAGAAGUCUCUAUUGACUAGUUAUACCAUAGGAAGGGCUCGGAUGAAGAACCACAUGAUUAGGAAGGAGUUGAAACAUUCACAGCAUUGACAAAUGAUACAAUAAUUCAAAGAGGUCACAAUCCCCAAGUUAAAUUUACUAACAAUUUGAUUGACUAUUUCCUCAAGCUGAGAGAUUGCAUUUAUCUAUUGUCAAAGAGCCAACUACCUCAACUAAACUUCCUUUCUUUAUGUAUAUAUAAUUUGAAUUCAGCAUGUUGCUUUCUUGCAGAUAAGAUGUCAUAAAAGCUGGCUUGACAUGUAUAUAGCCCUUGAACUCCUGUGCCAUUAGUACAUUGCCACACACUCAUCUUUAAUUCUUAAGUUUGAUCAUUCGAUAUGGCUGCUCGUGUGACAUUACUGUUGGCUAUUCUCGUAGUCUUACCAUUUCCUUCUCAUUGUGCUGAUCCUGAUCCCCUGCAGGAUUUCUGCGUCGCAAUUCUGAACUCUACAUCAACGUCUCUUAACGGCUUUCCUUGCAAGCCUGCCUCAGAAGUUACUUCGGAGGACUUCUUCUUUGAUGGCUUCACCAAAGAGGGAAACACGGACAAUGCACUCGGCUUCAGCCCAACCUUUGGAAACGUUCUUUCUUUCCCAGGGUUGAACACGCUAGGUAUUGCAAUGAAUCGGGUUGACUACGCCCCAGGAGGGCUGAAUCCACCCCAUUCACACCCUCGUGCAACUGAGUCCGGAGUAGUCAUUAAAGGGAAAC
rnacentral:lncRNA from 1 species